rnacentral:rRNA from 1 species
CGAACGCUGGCGGCGUGCUUACCACAUGCAAGUCGACCAGAAAGGCCUGCUUUCCCUUGUGGAUUGCGGGUGCUCGAGUGGCGAACGGGUGAGUAACACGUGAGUGAUCUGCCCCCAACUUGGGUAUAAGCCUGGGAAACUGGGUCUAAUUCCCGAUAGGACUGCAGGGUGGUGCCUGUGGUGGAAAACGAUUUUCUAGUGGUUGGGGAUGAGCUCGCGGCCUAUCAGCUUGUUGGUGGGGUAAUGGCCUACCAAGGCGGCGACGGGUAGCCGGCCUGAGAGGGUGGACGGCCACAUUGGGACUGAGAUACGGCCCAGACUCCUACGGGAGGCAGCAGUGGGGAAUAUUGCACAAUGGGCGGAAGCCUGAUGCAGCGACGCCGCGUGGGGGAUGACGGCCUUCGGGUGGUAAACUCCUUUCGACCGCGAGGAAGCCACCUGGUUGGAAGGGUGGUGACGGUAGUGGUAGAAGAAGCACCGGCUAACUACGUG